rnacentral:RNase_P_RNA from 1 species
CAAGGUAGACGGGCAGUCGCUUUUUUAAAAAAAGAGGAAAGUCUGAGCACCAUCGGAUUAGAAUGCCGGCUAACUGCCGGGCAGGGUAACUUGACGGAAAGUGCAACAGAAAGUAAACCGCCAUUUGGUAAGGGUGAAACGGUGAGGUAAGAGCUCACCUCAAUUAAGGAGACUUAAUUGGAUUGGCAAACCCCAUUCGGUGCAAGGUUAAAUAGAGGAGCUAAUGCGAAUCCGACAAGCUUCUGGGUAAACCGCUUGAUUUAUUUGGCAACAAAUAAACUAGAUAAAUGACUGCUGCCUUUUAAAGGUACAGAACUCAGCUUAUAGUUUGCCUUGAUCA